CGCUGGCGGCACGCCUAACACAUGCAAGUCGAACGAAGUAGCAAUACUUAGUGGCAGACGGGUGAGUAACAUGUAGGUAUCUGCCCUUUGGCCUGGAAUAACACGAGGAAACUUGUGCUAAUACCGGAUAAGUCUUUACGGAGAAAGCUUUAUGCACCAUUGGAUGAGCCUGCACUUGAUUAGUUUGUUGGUGGGGUAAUGGCCUACCAAGACCGUGAUCAAUAGCUGAUUUGAGAGGAUGAUCAGCCACAUUGGGACUGAGACACGGCCCAAACUCCUACGGGAGGCAGCAGUGGGGAAUCUUGCACAAUGGAGGAAACUCUGAUGCAGCGAUGCCGCGUGAGUGAAGAAGGCCCUUGGGUUGUAAAGCUCUUUCGUCGGGGAAGAAAAUGACUGUACCCGAAUAAGAAGGUCCGGCUAACUUCGUGCCAGCAGCCGCGGUAAUACGAAGGGACCUAGCGUAGUUCGGAAUUACUGGGCUUAAAGAGUUCGUAGGUGGUUGAAAAAGUUAGUGGUGAAAUCCCAGAGCUUAACUCUGGAACUGCCAUUAAAACUUUUCAGCUAGAGUAUGAUAGAGGAAAGCAGAAUUUCUAGUGUAGAGGUGAAAUUCGUAGAUAUUAGAAAGAAUACCAAUUGCGAAGGCAGCUUUCUGGAUCAUUACUGACACUGAGGAACGAAAGCAUGGGUAGCGAAGAGGAUUAGAUACCCUCGUAGUCCAUGCCGUAAACGAUGUGUGUUAGACGUUGGAAAUUUAUUUUCAGUGUCGCAGGGAAACCGAUAAACACACCGCCU
rnacentral:rRNA from 1 species